UGAGAGUCGAGCGGAUGACAGGAGCUUGCUCCUGAAUUCAGCGGCGGACGGGUGAGUAAUGCCUAGGAAUCUGCCUGGUAGUGGGGGACAACGUUUCGAAAGGAACGCUAAUACCGCAUACGUCCUACGGGAGAAAGCAGGGGACCUUCGGGCCUUGCGCUAUCAGAUGAGCCUAGGUCGGAUUAGCUAGUUGGUGAGGUAAUGGCUCACCAAGGCGACGAUCCGUAACUGGUCUGAGAGGAUGAUCAGUCACACUGGAACUGAGACACGGUCCAGACUCCUACGGGAGGCAGCAGUGGGGAAUAUUGGACAAUGGGCGAAAGCCUGAUCCAGCCAUGCCGCGUGUGUG
rnacentral:rRNA from 1 species